GCAGGUGAAGUGCUGGAGACACAGCAGGAAGCACCCAUGCCUUUGGUGAAGGGAGAGACCAAGGCCCACCGAGGAGGCGGGAUUUGGUGAGGGACGGAGAGAACUCCACCGGUGGGAAUAGGGCAAGGAGGCGAGCAUCCGGCACAGAGCAUCAUGACCAGAGGCUCAGAGCCUCUUCAAGGUUCAGCCACCAUGAGCUCAACAGGCUGAUGAUGGAAAAGAAGGGACUGUGUGUUCCAGCUUCCCUGGACGAUGGAUGGAGGCCAGCCCGUCCCUUCACCCCUGGUGCCCCUUGGGAAUGUGUCAUCGGAUGCUAGCAUGUCUCUGGAGCAGAAAACCACGUUCGUUUUUGUGAUUUUGUUGUUUAUUUUCUUGGGCAUCCUUAUUGUCAGGUGCUUCAGGAUUCUUCUGGAUCCGUAUCGGAGCAUGCCAACCUCAACCUGGGCUGACGGACUGGAAGGCCUAGAGAAAGGGCAAUUUGACCAUGCCCUGGCCUAGCAGGACAGGGGCAGGAGCCUGUCAUGAGGAGGAGGAGUGCUUCACGUCUUGGAAAGGGACUCUCUUUAGUCAGUGUUCUCAGCAACUCAAAUUUUAACUGUACCUAGUUGGAGGACCACAACUAGUAUCAGUAAACAUCUGAGGAUACUGGAGAUGGAGGUUUACAUCACUCACCCCAAAGAGGAAGGUUUAAAUUUCUGUAUUUACUCAAUGAUCGAAGGCUGCUGAAUGUGUAUGAUGGUGAAACCAAGAGCAUCAAUAGUGACUUGGUCUAAAAUGAAGCCCUCUGGGACCUGACCAGAGAAAAAGACUAGGAAGGACCUGUUCUGACUCUGGUGACAGGACCAAAAGAGGCUUCCUCACUCUAAUUAUGUCUCUCAGUUUGUUUUACUUUCAUGGGACUCUGAGUCCUAGGCAGAGAAUGAGGAAGCAGUUGCUGAAUGGACCCAAAGCAGUGCUCUGGAGGCAGUGUGUUACAUCGAAUGCUGAGAACUAACUGUUCCGAGAGAGAGAGAACAAGCAAAGACCAUGAAAGAUUUCUUCUUUAGCUACAGAUUUUGUAGCUGAAUACAUCACUUCAGGAAUGGACCAGAAUAAAAAGAGGAAUCACCUCAUGAUUUCUUCAUGCUACAAGUUCGUUGAUGCCUUCAAAGAUCCUUUGCUUCUAGAUCUGAAACAAAACACUGAUGCUGAUCUGUGAUCAUCCUGGGGUCUAUUAAUCACCUGAGUAUUCUCUUGCCUUACUGUUACAUCUUCCUUUAACUCACUAGUUUUAAAGUUUUAUUUUCUCUUCAAACAU
ensembl:lncRNA